UACAGAGGUCUCAAGCGUUGUUCGGAUUCAUUGGGCGUAAAGGGCGCGUAGGCUGCGGGGCAAGUCGGGUGUGAAAUCUCGGAGCUUAACUCCGAAACUGCAUUCGAUACUGCCGUGCUUGAGGACUGGAGAGGAGACUGGAAUUUACGGUGUAGCGGUGAAAUGCGUAGAUAUCGUAAGGAAGACCAGUGGCGAAGGCGGGUCUCUGGACAGUUCCUGACGCUGAGGCACGAAGGUCAGGGGAGCAAACGGG
rnacentral:rRNA from 1 species